rnacentral:rRNA from 1 species
GACGAACGCUGGCGGCGUGCUUAACACAUGCAAGUCGAACGGAAAGGCCCUGCUUUUGUGGGGUGCUCGAGUGGCGAACGGGUGAGUAACACGUGAGUAACCUGCCCUUGACUUUGGGAUAACUUUAGGAAACUGGGGCUAAUACCGGAUAGGAGCUCCUGCUGCAUGGCGGGGGUUGGAAAGUUUCGGCGGCUUGGGUUGGACUUGCGGCUUAUCAGCUUGUUGGUGGGGUAGUGGCUUACCCAGGCUUUGGCGGGUAGCCGGCCUGGGAGGGUGACCGGCCACAUUGGGACUGGGGUAGGACCCAGACGGAUACGUGAGGCAUCGGUGGGAAUCAUUGCGCGAUGGGCGGAGGCCGGAUGCAGCGACGCCGGGUGCGGGAGGACGGCCUUCGGGGUGUAACCAGUGUGCGCCUGUGACGAAGAGUGAGUGACGGUAAUGGGUAAAGAAGCACCGGCUAACUACGUG